CGCAUUUGUAAAAUUGGAACGAUACAGAGAAGAUUAGCAUGGCCCCUGCGCAAGGAUGACACGCAUUUAUCGAGAAUAGGUUCCAUUUAAUUU
rnacentral:snRNA from 1 species